AUUUAAAAAUACUACUAUAGAUAUUUUCUAGUUCAAUUUGUUAUAAAAUGUUACAAAUUAAUUCCGGAUUUAUAUUGGUUGGUUUACACUCGUAUUAAAACAUAUCCUGAUAUCAAUUGCUCUAACCUUGACUUGUUCAUCUGUUACUCAAUGCAAACCAAUAUUUCAAAAUAAUGAUCGCAUGUGUAAUUAUAAUACAAAUUUCUGUCCCAAAUUCUGCCAAUAUACUGGAAGUCGAAGAAAUUAGGACAACAAUUUCAGAACCCCCAAAAGAUGAUGUGAAGAUAGAAUACAUUGGACCAACUACUAGGCCAAGAUUCCCAUAUGUGUGCCCUGGAGGGACCUAUAGUAGGUGUCUUCGCUUCAAAUCACAUUAAAUAUUUUUAUCUUUAUAGCACCAAUGUAUUCCUAUAUCUUUUGAGAGAAAAUUUUAAAUAAAAACUCUUUGUAAAAUUAGAUAUCAAAAUUAAAAUUAUAUGAACAUAAUUCUUAAAUUGUGAUAAAAUUAAAAAUAUAUUAAUAUAUGGAUAAAUUAUUUAUUUAAAAAAUUGAAAUGAAUCAUUUAUUGUGAGAAAAGAUCUUCCCGUGUAUCAUGUGAAACCUACAGAAAAAUGGUUAUUUUCAAAAAUUUCCAAUUCCGGAUUAUAAUUUAUAAGAAUUAACUAAAAAGGGAUAUAACCUCACGUUUUGUUUUAUAUUUUUAACCAUAUUUUUACGAAGCUGAUACUUUGUUUUAUACAAUGUUCUAUGCAUUCUAUUAAAAUUAUAAUAAAUUUUAUAAUAAUAAAAUAUUUUUGUAUUAUUUAAA